rnacentral:rRNA from 1 species
GGGGUGAAGAUAAGACGGAUUAGCGGCGGACGGGUGAGUAACACGUGAGUAACCUGCCUUUUACACAGGGAUAGCCUCGGGAAACCGGGAUUAAAACCUGAUGAAACUAUCAAAUCACAUGAUUAAGAAAGUUAAAACUCCGGUGGUAAAAGAUGGACUCGCGUCCCAUUAGCUAGUUGGUGAAGGUAACGGCCCACCAAGGCAACGAUGGGUAGCCGGCCUGAGAGGGUGAACGGCCACAUUGGAACUGAGAAACGGUCCAAACUCCUACGGGAGGCAGCAGUGGGGAAUAUUGCACAAUGGGGGAAACCCUGAUGCAGCGACGCCGCGUGAGCGAAGAAGGCCUUCGGGUCGUAAAGCUCUUUUAUAUGGGAAGAUAAUGACGGU